CUCACCUGGAGGGACUCCCACUGCCCAUCAAGUGAGAAAAGCAAGUGUCAGCGUAAACUGCAUGAUUCCACUUCAGGAAAGACAGCAGACAGCCCCAACCGUCCCCCGCCCUCACUGCCGUGUAUGAUACUGUGAGAGAGGGAGACGAUGUGAAAGGCACCCAACUGAUUAUCUGGGGGGUCGGGGGGGUUAGAGGGACAAACUGAAGAAAUAAGAGAAGAAAAGAAAACAAAUUCACAUUGCAAGACCAAAGAAAUCAUAGGAAAACAGCAUGAAGACAUACGUGGAGGAUGUUCAUGACAGAUGCUGUUAACAGCAAAAAUUUGGAAAUAUCACACGUGGAGAGGGUAUUAGUAAAUUACGGCACAACCAGAUUGUGAAAUACUUUGCAGCCCUUCAACGUGAUGUCAUAAUGCCAUCAACACAAAGCAGCAUCUCAGAAGUGCCCUGAGUGAAAACAAUCUGGCUACACAGCUGCCCGGCGAGCUCCUGUCUGUGCCGCGCGAGAGGAGCUCACAUGGCCGGCCGCAGCGCCUCCUUAGAAAGCCCAGCUGGCGGGCUGGGCCCUGGGCUGGGUCCCGGAACUUGGGUUUCAGGAGGAUUCUCACUGCUCUCUGACUGAUAAGGGUUGGCUCACUGCGCCCACACUGUACAAAUGACAUGGCUUGUGCUCCACACCUGCUUUCCUUUGGGGAGUCUGACAUUUUGCUGCAAGCCGGGCAGAGGAUGCCAGCGUGGUCAGACCCCCGUGACAUCCUGGCGUGCUGAGUCUCUCAGGGGCCUCCCUGGGCAGAAGCUCUGAACACGUGCUGCUCUGUUUUUGUUGUUGGGGGAAGCGUGCCCCGGUGUCCCCCAUGGCAGGGAGAGAACAUGAGGAAGCCCACAGGUGGAUUCCUCCAGACGCCACCAGUGUCUUCUCCCUUAAGAUCCGAGUGUGUAUCCUCCCUACACUGUUAUCAUAAAUCUCAGCUGUGAGAGCAACUGUACACCGAGUGCAGUGGAUCCGUCUAGAGAACCUCUGAAUGUGGGGGUGGUCAUGGGGACAUCCUCCCCGGCCCACACGUGUGUAUGGAAACAUCUAGAUGGCGCUCGGGACCUGUUAGGAUGGUCAUCUGGCACCGUGAGUCUGGAGAGGCAGUUGAUUUCCUCUCACUUAGGUAUUUUUCCUAAGUCAGUUUGUGCUAUCACAAUGUAAAUGCAUAAAUUCCAUCAUAUAAAUACAUAAAUAAAACAAGACAACAAAGAUCCACGUUUAAUAUUCCAAAACUCUUCCGCUUCUCCACAGCCGGGCCUCUAACCCCAUCCCCCAGCCUAGGAGCCCUCCCCCACUCUCUCUCUGUCUCUCUACAUUCAAGCCGCCUGCAGGUUCUGUGGGCUCCACCUCCAGCCUUUAUCCAGGACCCCCAUGCUCACCACCUGCACUGCAAGCCCCCACCCACCUUCCACAGCCUGCCUCCCCCACUGGCCGCCUGGGCCAUGGCUGUGGCUUCCUCGCUGGUGUCUGGUGUCCACCCUGCCAGCCCGUGGUGUAUUCUCCAACAUGGCAGCCAGAGGGAGCCUUUUAAAAUCUAAAUCAGAUCAUGCCAUUCCCCUGUAUCAGGCCUUCCAGCUAAAUUUCAACCCCCUCCUAAGCCCAUAAACUACACUCCAUGCACAAGGCUUUCUUUCUGUCCCUUUGACACAGAGCACACACACACACACACACACACACACCUUCAACCUCAGGGCCUUUGCACCUACCAUUUCCUCUGUUUCUGCAGUUAGGCCUCCCUGACAGCUUGUCUACAGCAUCCCCCUUCGGUCUCCAUCUCAUUGCUAUUACUGUCUUCAUAGAACUUAUCACUACUCGCUUAGUGCUAGUCUUGGAACUGGAAUAUAAAGGCCAGGAGGGCGGAGAAACCUUACCUGUCUUAUCCAGGGAUAUACUAUGGUACUCGACGCUACCGGGGUACACAGUAGGUGCUCAGUGUGUGCACGUUACCUGGCAUCAGGCGCUCAGGAGUCUAUCGGGUGAAUGGGCCGCUGCAAAACUCUCCUUAGAAACCCAGUGUUUUCCCAACUGCCUGAUGACGUGGAUAGCUAGGAGCAUCUGUUUAAAGAUGCAGAUUCCUUGGCCCGCCGCCGACGUACUGCGCCCAACUCUCCAGCGGAGGGAAUCCGGGUGUCUGCGAUGCGGCUCAGGGACGGUUCCUAGAGCUGCCUGCUCCAAGGGAGCUCCGUCCUCAGGCUGGCUGAUGGGGGCGUCGGAGACCCCUUCGCUGCUUGGCCUUCCCAACCGGUAACUGUGGUUUAGAGAAAAAGACUAAAACGUGGAGAUGCCGGGGAUUGAACCCGGGGCCUCAUACAUGCAAAGCAUGCGCUCUACCACUGAGCUACAUCCCCUGACUCUUAAGCGCGUUUUCCGGGAAUGAGGAUGUAGGAAGUCGCGCCUUCGCUCCGCUUGUACCUACUUCUUACUUUAAGGACGCUCAGCGUCUCCGUGGGCUCAAGAAGGUCUCUCGGAGCGCUGCGGGAGCUCGCUGACCCGGGGCGCCCGGCGCUGCGACUCCGGAGACCCGGCCCCGAGCAGACGGCAGCGGUAGCCGGAGAACCCGGUCCCCAUAUGGAGCGACCUGGAGAAGAGCGAGAACGGCUCGUCCUCGUUAGUAUAGUGACGCACGAGGAGCCGUCCGUCCCCGUUGUGCCUGGAACCGUGUAAAUUAGGGCGCCUGCGAGAGGUGCCGUGCUGCCCCGGAAGGCGCUGAGCCAGAAAAGCUGCGUCCUCAGCGGAGGCCCCAGUAGGUGUGUCCAUAUCUUGGAGUACGUUUCUAUUUCCUUUUCUGAUCGGCAUCACAGUGACAGCAGCUCACCGCGACCUCGUUCCCACCGGGCGCCGGGCGGCGUCCGUGCGGCCCGUGCAGGCGCGCUGCUCCCCCCGGGGCGGUGUCUGGCCGCCUCGUCCUCCCAGGGCGGUGUGGGGCCGCCUCGUUCCCCCGGGGCGCCGUGGGGCGCGGCCCAUGGAGAGGCCCCGGCCGCCGCACCGUCCGCUCUGCGCCCCGCUGCCCUCGGGGGAGGAGGGCGGGGAGACGGGGGCGACCCCGACUUCCCCCCCCCCGCCUCUCUGGACUGUUUGAAAUGUGUCUUCCCGUCCCCCUCCCUCCCUCCCUCCCUCCCUUCCUUCCUCCCUCCCUCCCUUCCUUUCUUCUCCACUCCGCUUCUGUCGACACGAUGCACCUGAACGGUUUGCAAAGACCGGCUGCGCCGCCCCGAAGCGCGGCCUGGGCGCCCCUGCUGCGCCCCUGCUCCCGAGGGCCGGCGCGUGUGCUCGGUGCACCGCCGCCCCCGAGCUGCGGCCCGAACAGCGGCAGGUGCGGGAGGCUCUGUCUGCGCCCCCUUCUCCGCCUGAGGACGGGGCCCACCAGAGCAGCUCGUGCGCACAGAUCCCCUCCCGGGAGCCCCGCCAGCCAGGUGACUGGCUCUCGUCGCAGGAGAGGAGACUAGGACUUGACACCAAACUGCGUCACAAGCUGUCACCUCCCAGCUGUCCUUCCAAGGCCCGGUCGUCUUUCCUAAAAUCCACUUCCUCUCCGCUGAGGCCUGCGUUCCCGUGCCCUUCCCCGGUUAACGCACUAUAGAAACUCAAGUCUCGCAGCUGGUUUGGGUUUAGUCGCUAUUUAAUCCUGUGAUGCCCCGUACAUGUGAUAUUAACAAUUCAUUAGAAACCAACUUGUCUUUUGGGGGUGAAGAAAACAUUUAUCUGAAGUUCAGUAACUCUGUCCGUUUCAUUAUGAUUUCUUUUUCUUUUGUUAAAUUAAAAUAAAGUUAAUGUUGAUGCUUUUUGUUAAAAACGGGAUAUAGAAUGUGAUCCUAUUUUAAUAAAAAUGAAGCGCCCAU